UUGACAGUUUGGCUUCCCUGUUCUGGGUGGCAAAGCCUGUGGAGUACUCACCUACCUGCUGCAUGAAGGCAGCAUGGAGGGACUGUGGUGGAUUAUCUGCAAAGAUGGCCAAAAUUCUCUCAUCCCUGCAGGCACAUACAAGGAAAUUGAAGUAUACAGAAUGCUUAUUUGGUCUACUCAGUAUCAUCCUAAAUGUAUGUACCAAUGCUUAGGAGUUUGCAGUUCACCCGCAAACCUCAGCGAUCCAAGCUCCCCUGGAUGACCAUCACUCACCAAGAAAAGAGCAAUAACAGGACCUGUUUUGCUAAUCCAGGACUGUUCUCCAGCACUAACUCUAAAUAAUCCCUUCUGCUAGAGUCCACUUUCUGGAACCUGUUGGAGAAGACAUCUUACUCUUAUUGGAUCAUGCACAGUGCCUGAAGCAUUCUGUUGCAUGUAGAAGUCAGUAAAUUGCAGAUGUAAGAUUCAAAACCAGACUUCACAUCUACCGACUUCAGUGACCCUGAAAUUUGUUCACAGAGAGCAUUUAACAUAACUGUCUUCAUCAUCUCCUUCUCUACAUUAAAAAUUAUGGUUCACAAAGACGUUAUUGGUGAUUCAAUCUUGAGUCAUGAAAAGUCAACCUUGAGCCACAAAAAGUCAACCUUGAGCCAAGCAGAUUGGAGAGUCAUACAUGCCAUUCCUGGGACCAUCAAAAAUGGCAGAGGUCACACAAAAAGGCAAAACUUUUAAGAGGUGUUUUAAACGUCGUAUGG
rnacentral:lncRNA from 10 species